rnacentral:rRNA from 1 species
GUGAGGAAUAUUGCGCAAUGGAGGCAACUCUGACGCAGCCAUGCCGCGUGCAGGAAGAAGGCGCUACGCGUUGUAAACUGCUUUUAACCGGGAAGAAACCCCAGGACGUGUCCUGGGUUGACGGUACCGGAGGAAUAAGCACCGGCUAACUUCGUGCCAGCAGCCGCGGUAAUACGAAGGGUGCAAGCGUUAUCCGGAUUCAUUGGGUUUAAAGGGUGCGUAGGCGGAGCGUUAAGUCAGUGGUGAGAUCCUGCAGCUUAACUGUAGACUUGCCAUUGAGACUGGCGCUCUUGAGUGCGCUUGAAGUGGGCGGAAUGUGCCGUGUAGCGGUGAAAUGCUUAGAUAUGGCACAGAACACCAAUUGCGAAGGCAGCUCACUAAGGCGAUACUGACGCUGAGGCACGAAAGCGUGGGGAUCGAACAGGAUUAGAUACCCGGGUAGUCC